UCAAAAAUUGAAUCUUAUCAGCCUACCAUUACUUCAACAAACAACAUUAAAAAAAUGAAACUUUUAAAUCAUGUAACCUUUAGUGCAAAUGACAUGUCAAAGGGUUUUGCAGAUUUUGCAUCUGGCUUGCCAGUUCCAAUGUACUCCAAGGAGUCUAGCACCAAGGAUGUCACAUGGAUGAAGUCCCUUGAAGAACUUGAAAGCUGAUUGAGCAUUUGAAUGCAUUUUACUCUCAGAGGCAAGUGUCGUGGCCCAGAAAAAAGAUGAGCCACUCCAUUAAUAAUUUGAACAAUUAAGUACACCAACAGUUGAAGGUAUUAUCUUCCACGUUUGUGCAGACAUACUUCACCCAUAAAUCCACACAGUUGAUGUAUUGCCAGCUAUAUAUCUUCUCCAUCGUUUCCUUAAAAGAACUCCGGUUGAAACAACUGACCAUCAAAAUUUCAAACAAAAAAUAUAAUAGAAAAGAAUGAAUCGUCUGUAAUCCCGCCAUAACAGUAUUGCUGGUGCACGAGUUAACAACAAUAAACAGAUGGUUCAAGGAAAAUUUCUAACCUAAAAAAUAUUAUAAGCUGUCUUAGCUCAUGGAAAAAAAAUGGAAGAGCAUCUACCUUUUCUCUUGUGUGUUUGUGGAAAUGCCUAAGAGAAAAUUAAGUUAUCUACUAAAGAGCUUGUAAUUGUUUGGAUAGUAUCGUUACAACUAAAUGGGUCACUGUUUCUGUAUUGCUCAAAUUAAAGAAAGAUCGGAGAGUAACUGGUGUUCAAAUUGGCAUGAUUAGCUGCAGAAGAAGAAGAAGAAGAAGUUGAUUAGAUGAUGAAAUAUGAUGAGUAACAUUGGAAUUUGUAAGCCGGAUAAGAAACAGCAAAAGGACAAACGCCUGACCUUGACGAUGGAUGAUCUCUCUAAGUCACUACGUGAGGAGCGACCUUCCAGCACAGACUCUUCCCCGAUUUCAGCAUUCCUCCAAUGGGCUGGCUUAAAGAAGCCGAUUGAGAGGAACUAUUGACAGCUGGAGUAACCACUACUAAAUGUGCACGCCCAGGACUACUGCUUCUCGUAGGACAACUUAGACCAGGACAAUCUGAAGCCAUCUUGCCAGCAACCAAUGUCUCUUUUGUUGAGCUCACCAUGUAGGGUGCAGAGCUGACAUGAUUUGGUAAUUCUGUGCUUCCCCAUCCCCAUUCCUAUCAUGAAGUUCCCCUGAAGGAGAUGGAUUUGAUAUAUGACACGUUUAUAUCAACUACGGAGUGAAUAUGAAGCACCAGGAGUAUUUUGCUGACUGCCCCUCUACUGGGACAGAAUCUACUUCGAGGGAGGAAUGAGCUUGGCAUCGGGCGAUCCAAGGCCGGCCCUGACAUAAAGGGGCCAAAGUUUAACUUUGGGCAACAUAUUUUUAGGGGAAUCAUUUUUUAUU